GGCUUUGUGGCGCAACGGUAGCGCGUCUGACUCCAGAUCAGAAGGCUCUAGGUUCGAAUCCUAGCAGGGUCA
rnacentral:tRNA from 1 species